rnacentral:lncRNA from 1 species
GCUUCCUGAGAGCCAAAGUGCAGUGAUUGUUUUUGCUCUUCUGGGUCUAGCUACCCAGUGGAACUACUGAGCUUAGGGCUUGUACAGGGGACUGUCUGCAAAGAGUCCUGUGAUAUGAUCUGUCUUCAGGUCUUUCAGCCAUGGAUACCAUCACCUCUGGUGGAGGUAGUAAGGGAAUGAAGUGGACUCUGUGAGCAUCCUUGUUUGUAUUUUUAUUUAGUGUGCUGAUUUUGUGUUGGUUAACCUCCAGCCUGGAGGUGGCGUUUUCAACAGCACAUCAGCUGCAGUACUAUAGAGAGGAUGCAGACUUGCCUUAGCGUUGCCUGUUUAUAUAUUCAUGUUUCUCAGGUGGUGAGUAGGGCCAUAGAGCUCCCAAGAGAUUAUUUCCUUUGUCUUUGGCAACCAGGGUGAGUAGAGAAAGACCACCAUGUGGGGGCAGGUAUAGGCAUUUCUGAGCUCAGACUUUCCGUAAGUGGGGCUUACUGUGGCCGCUGUGGGCAAUGGGGGUGUGAUUCCCAGGCUAGUGGAGUUAUUAUCUCAGGGGGAUUAUGGCUGCCUCUGCUGUAUCAUACAGGUUGCCAGGCAAGUGGGGGAAAGCCAGCAGUUCCAGGCCUCACCCCCUCCCACACAACCCCGCAGUCCCUAAGGCUGAUCUCACUCCCACUUUGCCCCUCCAACAGCAUCGAGUCUAUUUCCAGGCACCCAGUGACCAGGGCUGACAACUUGCCCCAGACCACCAGCCUCCCCACUGAGAAAGCAAGAGGACUCACAGUUCUUCAGCAUCUCAGGGAGCCUACAGUGGCAAUCCAGUUUCUUCAAAGCAUCUGUGGAUUCUCUCAGCUUUCCUGGAUAAGGGAAGAGAAAUGAAGAGAAGUUGUGAAAUUGAAUUGAGCUAAAUAUCGUUAGAGAUUCUGGAACGGGAUUCUAUGAAGGUGAUGACUGCACAGUAGCUCCCUUCCCUCCAUUACCUACUUAUUUGUGUCAGUGUCUCCUCCCUGUGUUCCUAAGAACUCUUUCCUGAAAUUCUUAGGCCCACUGUUGCCUGUGUGUAUGUGAGAUGUUGGUUUGGACAACAAAUGCAGAGCCAUGUAUCAUUUGGGCUUGAUCAUCUUUGUAAGCCAGGACUUGCAUAGCACAGAUAACAAGAACUUGACCUUCAUGCCCCUCUGUCUAGGAGAGUCCUAGUAGAUUUGGGUGUUAAAAAUCUUCCUCCAACUGCCUCAGAAGGAGACAGGUGACUCCCCUGCUUUUAUUCUACAGUCCUCUCAGAAUACCUACCAAUGUCUUAUAAUGACCCGCACAGUUUGGCAGUUCAGACCUCAUCUCUCAUUCUCUCUAAUUUCUUGCUUUUACUCUAGCCACACUGGCCUUGUUUUGUUUUGCGAACAUCUGCGGCAUACUCCCACCUCAAGAUCUUGGCAAAUGUUACAUCCUCUGAUUGGAAUGCUCUUCCCAGAUGGCCACAAGUUUUGCUCUCUGAUCUUCCUCAAAUUUUUCCUUAAAUAUAAAACUUUUUCCUGAUCAUUCUACUUAAAAUUUCAACCCCACAGUGUUUUCCUAGUUUCUUGUCUUUUACCUAAUGCACUUAUAACUUUUUAAAAUACUUUUACAGAUUGGUUUGUCGAAUGCUAUAUAUAUUAUUUCUUUAAAAUUUGUUUGCCUACAAAUGUAUUUAUUAAAUUUGUCUUCUGCCUCCCCCAAGGAAUACAAGCUUCAAUAGUUCUAAAAAAGUAAACAUAAAAUAAAAUAAAAUAAAAAUAAAAAUUCAUGCACUGGAAAGACAAAUUUAGAAUUUAAGAAUAAACUUAAAAAUAAAGAUAUUCAUGAGAAAGUGACAUUUUAAUGAAUGUUGGAAAUGUAACCAAUGCUUUUGAAUAGGAUCACUAAAGAUAAAGUGAACUCAUUCAAAUUUAACGUAUUAAUUUAAUACAUAAUAAUCCCAGCAUUUAAAGAAUUAUCUAAAAUUAUAUUCAAAUUAUGGGAGAAAUAAGUUCCCCCACAUAGGCAAGGAAAAUAUUGAAAAUAUAAUUUAAAUUAUAAUUCAAAGUAAUGGAAUCUGAAUAUUUUCCACAUCAGUGAUCCUGCACAAGUGAUUUUUCCAGUCCAUUUCCAUGAGUAAUGCAGUCCAUUUGAUUAGCUUUCAAAGUGUAGCUUCUCAAUGCUUUAGACUCACAAAUACAUGACAAGUGUUAAAAAGGUUUGCUAAUCUAUUUUAUAGUCUUCUCUUGUUCAACCCACAAUGUAAUUUUUUCAAUCAUAAUUAUACAGUGGUGUGUUGUGAAUUUGAAGAACAAAGAUUCAAAAUAUUUUGCAUUUUAGAAAUUGUCUGUAGGUUAUAGAAAUAAAGAGUAAAAAUAAUAGAAUAUUUUAAGAUGUUUGAUUAUUUCCAGUGAAGAUGUAGAAUUUGAUUCUAUUUUUAAAUUUUUUUUUAGAAUUACCAUGUGUUACAUGUGAGUUUAUUGCUAUCUGAAUUGUUACAAAGAAAGAAUCUCUGUCCAUUUUCUGUUUAUUAAAUUUAGAAUGUUAAAUGUUUUUCUUAGUAUCCCUAUCCCAUCAAUUUUUUUUUCAUUCAUAAUGUGUAUUACUUUGGGUUCUCCAGAGAAACAAAACGAAUAGCAUAAGUAGAUAGAUAGCUAUAGAAAGAUAGCUAUACAAAUAUAUCUACCUUUAGUUUAGUCUAUCUUUAGUUUAUCUUUAGUCUCUCAGUUUCUAAGUUUUCCAUAUGCUUAGGAAAUCCUCAGAAUUAGGGCACAUGGUGAGACUUAUAGUUAUUGUUUAACAUUUUUCUGCAGCAAGGAAAAAGAAAGGAGAAAUUUGGGGUUCUGAGAAUAGACAAAUAAAGGUGGGUACUCAAGGAGGUGUGGAAUCCAGGUGGCAGCUGUUUCUUCUCCAUUCAGAUUAUCUUGGUUACUUGAACAUACAAAUGACAAAACUGGCACUUUGCCACUGAAAGUUUAAUUUAUCUUGAAUGUUAGCAUAAUUUUAGAAUUUAUUAUACUACAAGAAAAGAAAAAGCAUGCGACGUGUUUUGUUUUCUUUUCCUAUGACCUUCAGGCGGUCAACUACUUUAUUAUGUAAACCUAUGCUAAACUAUCCAAUUGCCUCCCACUGCCUGGUAAUUUUUGUAAAUUUAGAAAUAAUUAUAUAUUUUCAGAAAAGUUGCAAGAAUAGUACAAAAAAUUUUCACACAAUUGUCACCUAUAUUCCCCUAUUUUUUCACAUUUGCUUUAUUACUCCCUUUAAUAUAUACAUAUAUACAUAUGAAAUAAUAAUUUUAAAUUGCAAACAUGGUAUUGCUGUACUCCUAAAUACUUCAGUGUGCAUUAUCUCCAUAAGGAACAUUCCCUUAAUAUUACCACAAUUAACAUAACAGGACAUUAACAUUGAUACAAUAUUUUACACAAUCAAUUGCUCCUUUCUGAUUCCUUGGUUUAUAAUUUCCUUUUAAACAUUAGGACACACAUACUAUGAGGCAAUUUUUUUUGUUGUUUUCGCUUUAAUAAGCACCAAAUGUUAUUUUGAUUAGAUUAAAAUAGAUCUAUGUCAUGGUUUUUAUUCUUACAUAAUACUACACUAUGAAUUCACCAAAAUUGGCCAAUAUGAUCUUCAAAAUUUUGUGGAGAAAAUGUCCAAGAAUAUGCAAGCAAAAUAGUAGAAUAUAAUUAAAAUUAUAGUUUUUCUGCAACAGAGUCAUAUGAGAUAGCCCAUCUUCAUUGGUAAACAUUUUUAUGAGUGCCAUUAAUCUCUACCUCUCUUGUAAAUCCACUCAUUACACUGUAUUGUUACUACACAUUUAUGCAUCUUCAAAUCCCACUAGACUGUUAGACUGCAAAAUUAGUACAGGCAGAAACUGUGCCUCCUUCGUUAACUAAUGCAUUGUGGAUACUGAAUCAACUGGUUGAAUGAAUAAGUGAAUAGUAAGUAUGACAUAGAAGCGAAUCUAGCUGCUACCUUGUUAUGAAAUCAAAGGCCAUCAGGAGUAAUCCUCCUUACUCUCCUGUUUGACCUACCCAAACUGUUAUCAACAUGUAUGUCUAUACUAACUUUUCUUCUAAUUGCAGAAGAGUAGGUGUGCCCUCCUCAUGUCUCCUGCUUCUUAUUCCAUCCUUAGGUUCCAGGCUCUUGCUCUGUUGGUCAUACAUAGUAUUCCUCUCCUAUGUCUUCAACUAUUUUUUCUUUUUUUUUUUUGUUUUUUUCUUGCCCAUAUCAAAAAUGUAGACUUUGCUCUCCCAUCAAAUAAAGCCAUCUCUUUUUUCUACUCCCUGUAGCCACCAUCUAGUCUCUUACUUCCCCUUUUCCUGCUGAGCUUCCUAAAAGCAUAGCUUGUUAUAUAUUUCUGUUAUCUCCCAUUUAUUUCUCAACUACCCUUGAUCUAGAUUCAUUUCUUAAUACUUCUAAAGGUAGUUCUGGCUUAAACAAUGGCAUGUGUAUUUUCAUAUUUUGUGGACACGAUUCCAUCUUGAUUGACCCUCUGCUCCCUGACAUCAUUCUCUCUGGUUUCUAUACUUUGGAAUUUAGUUGGAUUUAAUGUUUCUUGAAUGGACAAAUCCAUUUCCUGCAUAUAUUUUACUAGAAUUGAGUAGUCACCUAGAGAAUGCCAUGUAGAUGACAGCAGAACAGGCCAAGACAUAUUGCUUGUUCCAUUUUUCUUCAUUUCAUCUUGAUAUGGUUUGGCUUUGGCUCUGUGUUCCCACCCAAAUCUCAUCCCGAAUCCCCAUGUGUUGAAGGAGGGACCUGGUGGGAGGUGACUGGAUCACAGGAGCUUUUUCCUUAACACUGUUCUCAUGACAGUGAGUGAGUUCUCACGAGAUCUGAUGGUUAAAAGUGUGGCACUUCCCCUAAUUCUCUCUCUCUCUCCUGCUGCUAUGUAAUAUGUGCCUUGCUUCCCCUUUGCCUUCUGCCAUGAUUGUUUCACCCUCAUGGGGGGCCUCCCCUGCCAUGAGGAGCUGUGAGUUAAACUUCUUUUUUUUUUAAUAAAUUACUCAGUCUCAGGUAGUUCUUUACAGCAGUGUGAAAAUGGACUAAUACACACCUCAUUUUACUUUUAUUAAGAUAAAGAACAUUUUAAAAUGCAUUCUGAAAACUCAUUAACAGCACACUGAGUGAAUCAUUGUUAAAUUAAAUGUUUCUAUGUCAAUUUAUCUGGUAAUUUUCUCUUCAUUACUAUGAUAGCCAUCCAAAGAUAAGGUUCCUUUUUAUUUAACAUGAGGAAGGCGCCAACAAAAUUAUAAUGCUUUGGGACACAGAAAAAUUUAUGAGAAAUGUUACCGUGUAUACUGCAAAAUAAGACUGAGCUUCACCCAUGAGCUGAUGAAAUCCAUUAUAUAGUAUUUUCAUUUUGAAUAUUUCUUGUUUUCUGAAGGUCUGAAUAAAUCUUAAAUUGAGUAAAUCAGGAGGUACUAAGCUUCAUGGUGGUUAAGAAAAGAGGGAAGAAGUAUUUAAGUCUACAAAAUGUAUGUGUUUAAAAUAAUUAUAAAUGAUAUUUUAUAGAGAAUAAUUUGAAGAAAAUAUAAUGAUCUUAUCACUAAAUUCAUAAAAGUAUAAAUUGUGGAUUAUGUUUUUAUAUUUUUGAU